rnacentral:lncRNA from 1 species
CGGGGUUUCACUGUGUUAGCCAGGAUGAUCUCGAUCUCCUGACCUCUCCUGAUCUGCCUGCCUCAGCCUCCCAGAGUGCUGGGAUUACAGGCGCUCAUGGCUUAUUUUUCAAAAAUUUUAUUAGUCUUUUCAAAAGAUCAAUGCUGUGGCUUGAAUGUUCCUUCCAAAACUCAUGUUGAAAUUUCAUCAUUGUAACAGUGUUGAGAGGUGGGACCUUUAAGAGGUGAUUAGGUCAUGAGGGUUCUGCCCUCAUAAAUGGAUUAAUGCCUUCAUCUCGAGCGUGGGUUGGUUAUCACGAGAGUGGGUUCCUGUUACCAUGAGGCAAGAAGACCCUCACUAGAUGUUGACACCAUGCUUUUGGACUUUCUAGCCUCCAGAACCGUGAGCCAAAUAAGUCUCUUUUCUUUAUAAAUUACCCAGACCGUGGUAUUCUGUUGCAGCAACAGAAAGCAAAGACAACCAGUUUUUGAAUUUGUUAAAGCCUCUCCAUUGUACUUUUAACUUCACUGAUUUCUUAACUUUCUCAUUUCCUUUCUUCUACUUUACUUGGGUUUAUCAUGCUAUUUUUUUUGUAAGUACUUAACUCACUAAUUUUAUUUUAUUUCCACCCCCCCCCCACGACACAGGUCUCCCUCUUUUGCCCAGGCUGGAGUGCAGUGGCACAACCAAGGCUCACUGCAGCCUCAACCUUUCCAGACCCAGGUGAUCCUCCCACCUCAGCCUCCCAAGUAGCUGGGACUACGGGUGCAUGCCACCAUGCCCGGCUAAGUUUUGUAUUUCUUGUAGAGACGGGGUUUUGCCAUGUUACCCAGGCUGGUCUCGAACUCUUGGGCUCAAGUG